rnacentral:rRNA from 1 species
UAAUACAUGCAAGUCGAACGAACUCUGGUAUUGAUUGGUGCUUGCAUCAUGAUUUACAUUUGAGUGAGUGGCGAACUGGUGAGUAACACGUGGGAAACCUGCCCAGAAGCGGGGGAUAACACCUGGAAACAGAUGCUAAUACCGCAUAACAACUUGGACCGCAUGGUCCGAGCUUGAAAGAUGGCUUCGGCUAUCACUUUUGGAUGGUCCCGCGGCGUAUUAGCUAGAUGGUGGGGUAACGGCUCACCAUGGCAAUGAUACGUAGCCGACCUGAGAGGGUAAUCGGCCACAUUGGGACUGAGACACGGCCCAAACUCCUACGGGAGGCAGCAGUAGGGAAUCUUCCACAAUGGACGAAAGUCUGAUGGAGCAACGCCGCGUGAGUGAAGAAGGGUUUCGGCUCGUAAAACUCUGUUGUUAAAGAAGAACAUAUCUGAGAGUAACUGUUCAGGUAUUGACGGUAUUUAACCAGAAAGCCACGGCUAACUACGUGCCAGCAGCCGCGGUAAUACGUAGGUGGCAAGCGUUGUCCGGAUUUAUUGGGCGUAAAGCGAGCGCAGGCGGUUUUUUAAGUCUGAUGUGAAAGCCUUCGGCUCAACCGAAGAAGUGCAUCGGAAACUGGGAAACUUGAGUGCAGAAGAGGACAGUGGAACUCCAUGUGUAGCGGUGAAAUG